UACGGAGGGAGCUAGCGUUGUUCGGAAUUACUGGGCGUAAAGCGCACGUAGGCGGCUUUGUAAGUUAGAGGUGAAAGCCCGGGCUCAACUCCGGAAUUGCCUUUAAGACUGCAUCGCUUGAAUCCGGGAGAGGUGAGUGGAAUUCCGAGUGUAGAGGUGAAAUUCGUAGAUAUUCGGAAGAACACCAGUGGCGAAGGCGGCUCACUGGACCGGUAUUGACGCUGAGGUGCGAAAGCGUGGGGAGCAAACAGG
rnacentral:rRNA from 1 species